GAUGAACGCUGGCGGCGUGCCUAAUACAUGCAAGUCGAGCGAACAGACGAGGAGCUUGCUCCUCUGACGUUAGCGGCGGACGGGUGAGUAACACGUGGAUAACCUACCUAUAAGACUGGGAUAACUUCGGGAAACCGGAGCUAAUACCGGAUAAUAUAUUGAACCGCAUGGUUCAAUAGUGAAAGACGGUUUUGCUGUCACUUAUAGAUGGAUCCGCGCCGCAUUAGCUAGUUGGUAAGGUAACGGCUUACCAAGGCUACGAUGCGUAGCCGACCUGAGAGGGUGAUCGGCCACACUGGAACUGAGACACGGUCCAGACUCCUACGGGAGGCAGCAGUAGGGAAUCUUCCGCAAUAGGCGAAAGCCUGACGGAGCAACGCCGCGUGAGUGAUGAAGGUCUUCGGAUCGUAAAACUCUGUUAUUAGGGAAGAACAAAUGUGUAAGUAACUAUGCACGUCUUGACGGUACCUAAUCAGAAAGCCACGGCUAACUACGUG
rnacentral:rRNA from 1 species